rnacentral:lncRNA from 1 species
UGGAAUGCCCGGUGGCUUCCCAUUCCCAGGAGGCAUGGGUGGAAUGCCUGGUGGCUUCCCUGGAGGAAUGCCUGGUGGUUUCCCUGGAGGUAUGGGUGGUAUGCCUGGAGGAAUGGGGGGUGGUUUCCCUGGAGGAAUGGGUGGAGGUAUGCCCGCAGGAAUGGGAGGUGGUAUGCCCGCAGGAAUGGGAGGCGGUAUGCCUGCAGGAAUGGGAGGUGGUAUGCCUGGAAUGGGCGGUGGUAGAGGAAUGGGAGGUGGUAUGCCUGGAGCUGGAGGUGCUCCCGGUAAUGUUGAUAUGGGUGACAUCUUGAAUGUAAGUGCUUGGCCAGUGUCUGCCUUCCUUUCCUGUCUUCCCUGUAACC